GGGAGAAGCCCCGGCGGCAGCUGAUGGAGUCAAGGCACAGACAGUUCGGGUGCACAGGACAGAAAGGAGAUGGCCACUUGUCACGUGUCGGCAUCAUUCAACAUCGGCAGCUGAAACUCUUGGGGUGGCAACGGCCGACUUCAGCGCUGUGUUCCCGGCCAUCGACUUCACACAGGCUGUUGAGGCGGGAUGCGACAAGCCACCAUUUAUCGAGGCGAGCCUGGUGAGUACCACCUGCCAGGUAGAACCGUGGCGAGGCCUCCAAGACAAGUGCGUCGGCGAGUAUGAGGCCGUGCUCCAGCAUGCAGAACAGUCCUGCCAGACCGAACAUCACAUCACACUAGUCCAGUGCGCAAAGCCUCAAGUUUCAUCUUGCAGCGUCGAAGUGCAGGCUGACGACCUGUGGUGGCAGCGUCAUUGUGGAACUGGGCCCAUUGGUGUCGACUUGUGUGAACCUGAAGUCUACAAGUUCAAGCACUAAGGACCUGCCAUGACCUACAAAACUGCACAUUUACUGGGGGCACUACAGUUGAGGUGUGCGUUUGCCUCAUACUCGGUGAAGGACCACUUUGAGCUUGCAUAUGACAUCUUGCCAGCCAUCAGUGUCUGCCUCUGCCCAGCCGUCCUCGAACAUUCCGAGUGCACCGUCAUUGGAUGCAAUGUUAUGGGGCUUGCUGCGUGCCAUCUGGAUAUCACAGCCCCAAAUCCCUC
rnacentral:lncRNA from 1 species